CCUACGGGGGGCAGCAGUGGGGAAUAUUGGACAAUGGGGGGAACCCUGAUCCAGCCAUGCCGCGUGUGUGAAGAAGGCCCUCGGGUUGUAAAGCACUUUCAGUGAGGAAGAACGCCUGGUGGUUAAUACCCAUCAGGAAAGACAUCACUCACAGAAGAAGCACCGGCUAACUCCGUGCCAGCAGCCGCGGUAAUACGGAGGGUGCGAGCGUUAAUCGGAAUUACUGGGCGUAAAGCGCGCGUAGGUGGCUUGAUAAGCCGGUUGUGAAAGCCCCGGGCUCAACCUGGGAACGGCAUCCGGAACUGUCAAGCUAGAGUGCAGGAGAGGAAGGUAGAAUUCCCGGUGUAGCGGUGAAAUGCGUAGAGAUCGGGAGGAAUACCAGUGGCGAAGGCGACCUUCUGGACUGACACUGACACUGAGGUGCGAAAGCGUGGGUAGCAAACAGGAUUAGAUACCCUGGUAGUC
rnacentral:rRNA from 1 species